CGGGAAUCCUAGUGUGCUGGG
rnacentral:piRNA from 1 species